CUUAGCAUUUUUGCCGCCUCUCAGCAGCUGAACAGGGUUGGGCCUGCUUAGUACUUGGGUGAGAGGCUACCUGGGAAUGCAAGCUGAUGUGGGC
rnacentral:rRNA from 1 species